GACGAACGCUGGCGGCGUGCUUAACACAUGCAAGUCGAACGGAAAGGCCCCUUUGGGGGUACUCGAGUGGCGAACGGGUGAGUAACACGUGAGUAACCUGCCCUUGACUUCGGGAUAACUUCAGGAAACUGGGGCUAAUACCGGAUAGGAAUCCUUGCUGCAUGGUGGGGGUUGGAAAGCUUCGGCGGUUUUGGAUGGACUCGCGGCUUAUCAGCUUGUUGGUGGGGUAGUGGCUUACCAAGGCUUUGACGGGUAGCCGGCCUGAGUGGGCGACCGGCCACAUUGGGCCUGGGGUCCGGCCCAGACUCCGACGGGAGGCAGCAGUGGGGAAUAUUGCACAAUGGGCGGAAGCCUGAUGCAGCAACGCCGCGUGCGGGAGGACGGCCUUCGGGUUGUAAACCGUUUUCAGCAGGGGCGAAGCUUGUGGUGACGGUACCUUCAGAAGAAGCACCGGCUAACUACGUG
rnacentral:rRNA from 1 species